UACGUAGGGUGCGAGCGUUAAUCGGAAUUACUGGGCGUAAAGCGUGCGCAGGCGGUUCGUUGUGUCGGUGGUGAAAGCCCCGGGCUUAACCUGGGAAUGGCCAUGGAAACUGGCGAACUGGAGUGUGGCAGAGGGGGGUGGAAUUCCGCGUGUAGCAGUGAAAUGCGUAGAGAUCGUAAGGAAGACCAGUGGCGAAGGCGAGUUUCUGGACAGGUACUGACGCUGAGGCACGAAGGCCAGGGGAGCAAACGGG
rnacentral:rRNA from 1 species